rnacentral:rRNA from 1 species
CUGGAUUAGAUACCCCACUAUGCCCAGCCGUAAACAAUUAAUCCACACCUAUAAGCGCCAGGGAAUUACGAGCCAUGCUUAAAACCCAAAGGAUUUGACGGUGUCCCACCCCACUAGAGGAGCCUGUUCUAUAAUCGAUAAUCCCCGCUACACCCGACCAUUUCUUGCUUAUCAGUCUGUAUACCUCCGUCGAAAGCUUACCGUGUGAACGCCCCCACAGUAGGUUUAAUGACCUCCGUCAAUACGUCAGGUCAAGGUGCAGCUUAAGAAAUGGGAAGUAAUGGGCUACAAUUUCUAACCUAGAACAAACGAAAGACUAUGUGAAACCCUAGUCACGAAGGCGGAUUUAGCAGUAAGAAGAAAAUAGAGUGUC